rnacentral:misc_RNA from 1 species
GAUGAAGAACGCAGCGAAAUGCGAUACGUAAUGUGAAUUGCAGAAUUCAGUGAAUCAUCGAAUCUUUGAACGCAUAUUGCGCUCUCUGGUAUUCCGGAGAGCAUGCUUGUUUGAGUAUCAGUAAACACCUCAACUUCCAUAUCUUUUUUGAAAUGGGAGUUGGACUUGAGUGAUCCCAACGCUUUUCCUCACCGAAAAGUGGCGGGUUACUUGAAAUGCAGGUGCAGCUGGACUUUUCUCUGAGCUAUAAGCAUAUCUAUUUAGUCUGCCUAAAAAACAGAUUAUUACCUUUGCUGCAGCUAACAUAAAGGAGAUUAGUUCUUGUGCUGACUGAUGCAGGAUUCACAAAGACAGGCUUUGGCCGACUUUGUAAACUCGAUCUCAAAUCAAGUAAGACUACCCGCUGAACUUAAGCAUAUCAAUAAGCGGAGGA